UAAGAAAUGAAUCCAAUAAGAGGAUGUGCAGCUUGCAAUUAUCUUAGAAGAAGAUGCCCUCAAAAUUGUAUUUUCUGACCUAUCUUCCUCCUAGCUAGUAUGAUAUCCCCCAAAAGUUUAAACAUAUGGAGCUACUAAUGUUACCAAGAUUAUUCAGCAACUCCCACAAGGUAAGAGUAGCAGCAGCGGAUUCUCUCUAGCUCCUUUGAAGCACAGAGUCGAAGAUACUAUUUAUGGUUGUCUUGGGACUAUCUCUUUACUAUUUGUAGCUGUUAUCUUUCUAUCAGAAUCUCCUGUUUGGUCGUAUGUUUAUAUCAGUUUUUGUUUGAUUUAGUUGUUGUUUUUUGUUA